rnacentral:lncRNA from 1 species
AAACAUUGGACAAAUAUCGUGGAUGAGGCUGGCAGUGAGAUCACAUAACAUAACCAUUUUGGGAUGAGGUAAGUCAGGUUGAGCUAUUUACAGUUAAGAAUGUCUGGUGACAUGGUGGGAGGAACUAAAUGCACAUUGACUGUGUAUCUUUCAGUUGGAUGUGGCUUGUCACCGUUAAAAUAUGAUAUUUCCAAACAUAAUACAAUAUAUUACUCCAAAACUGAAAUCAAACAAUCACUUCACUAACUUUUUUAUUACUUUAGAAUCUUUAUGUAGCUCUUUGGAGGAUGCUGUGGCCUGUGUGAAUGGGUUAACGAUACCAUGAUCUUGCUUAAUUAUUUGGUCACAUGCUUGGGCUAUGGGCAUUGGGCACUAUGUUUGAUGCUCCUUUGUUUUUCUUUUAGUAGAAAGAUGGGGAUUAAUAAUGUAUAAAUAAAAGAAGUGAUUGGCAAAACUGCAUCUGGUGAAACUUAUGUUCUUGAAGAGGUAAAGAGAACAAUGUGGUCUCAUUAGUCUAUAAUAAGCUCUGAAUGGAUGUUACAUACAAAAUCGACCAUUGAUGAAGUUGAAUAUGCAUUCAGCUCAUAGUCACUCCAAAGGUCAUCGUGUUCUUGAUUGUUGUCUAGAAUCUUAUUUCUAGCACAAUGCAAAAGGUUUAUCCUAACAAACAAUUGUUAAUAUCUUGUUCAACCUAACACUUGUCAUUUAUACUCUUUUGCAAGAUAAAAAAAAAUUGGAGUUUGAAGAUAGAUACUAUAGGAAUGAAGAGAGAAAUUACUUCAUGUCAUGAAC